rnacentral:rRNA from 1 species
UACACUCCUACGGGAGGCAGCAGUGGGGAAUUUUGGCCAAUGGGCGAAAGCCUGAUCCAGCAAUGCCGCGUGCAGGAUGAAGGCCUUCGGGUUGUAAACUGCUUUUGUACGGAACGAAAAAGCUCCUUCUAAUACAGGGGGCCCAUGACGGUACCGUAAGAAUAAGCACCGGCUAACUACGUGCCAGCAGCCGCGGUAAUACGUAGGGUGCGAGCGUUAAUCGGAAUUACUGGGCGUAAAGCGUGCGCAGGCGGUUAUGUAAGACAGAUGUGAAAUCCCCGGGCUCAACCUGGGAACUGCAUUUGUGACUGCAUGGCUAGAGUACGGUAGAGGGGGAUGGAAUUCCGCGUGUAGCAGUGAAAUGCGUAGAUAUGCGGAGGAACACCGAUGGCGAAGGCAAUCCCCUGGACCUGUACUGACGCUCAUGCACGAAAGCGUGGGGAGCAAACAGGAUUAGAUACCCUGGUAGUCCCAUG